CUUAAUGCGAUUCCUCACAUCCCCAGAGGGAUAUCCAUAAAUGCCGCAGAAUAAACAAACAGGGGAAAAUAAUGAAUGGGAGCAAAGCAGCAAGGCAGCAAAACAGGGCGGCGGCGGCGGCGGCCGCCUGCGGCCGGGAGUAAACAAGCGGCCGUGCGGGCCGGGCGCCGCCCCCGGCGAGAUGGCGGCCGCCCCGCAGGCCCUCAGCCCCUCAGCCCCUCGGCUCCGCCGUCCCUCCGUCCCUCCGUCCGUCCGUCCGUCCUUCGCCGAGCCCGCGCUGCUCCCUCACGUGCUCUGAAGGCAGCGGUCUAUUUUUACAACUGUCUGAGAGCCCUGGCUUCCUCUGGCAGAUCCUCCGCUAAUGCUGUUACCCGGCAGAGGAGAAAAGGCAGUGAAGCUGCUAAAAUAACUGCGCAUCACCGAAAUAGAUGGAAAAGGCAUUUUAGGUCAUGCAGUCCGUGACCCGGCCACCAAAGGAGGUUGGCGAUCAGAAGGGAACCUGCCAACCCAAUCAAGAGGGAGCUGUCUCCAUCGUGCAGCCUGGCUGGAACCCCCUGAACCGGUGAAAGAAGAUUGGAGGGAGAGAUGGAAAAUAACAGCUGAAAUCCUGGGCUUGCCAAGAUUCCCUGCACCUGAGCUGAGACAAUUUAAUGGCUGCAGUUACACCUGCUUUCCCGCAUCGGAGAGCAUUUCCAUAUUGCUGAGCCAGGGUAUGUUCUCUGGCCAUAUUCUAACUCCUAAUUCUGCACCAAAACCAGAUCUGCACACCAGCCUGCUCCAGUGUGCCAGUGGAAAUGGAACCUUGUGGGUGAGGUCUGGCUGGGAAUGGUGGCACGAGCCGGAUGGCACUCAUCCACCCCCACAGAGCGCGGGAGUGCUAAGUCUGGAUGUGAGUCUUUCCUUCUGUCCCUUCUGAUCCAGUGGAAAGGCAAACAGAUUAGCUUAAAUAAUUGGCUCUUUAGAACUGUUAGGACUUCAAAAUGGAACAGAGAAAUAAUGCUUACAGACUCAGGAGCAGGUAGGAGGUAGUUUUAAGAAGCUGCUUCUUAUCAGCUCUCAGCUGUUCUGCCUCUCAGCUGAGACAGUGCCUGACUGUGGCCUAAUUUUGAUGUGAUAAGAUUGGGCCAAACAUGAAUUCCAAAUGUGCAAAAGCCAUUCAGAGACCAGUCUGCAAAACUUAAUUUCAUACAAGUGUUUAAAACCUGUAUCAUCAGGAGAGGAGGGAGUUUUGAGGAGAGAGCAGGAAUAGAUAAAUAGAUAAAUAGCAAACCUCUGCCAUUUGAGAUAAGAUAUACCCUUUGUUUGCAAUUCGAUGCUAUAGUACUUAUGACAGGCAACAGAACAUUUCUGAUUUAUUUUAAGAGAGCAAUGGUAAACAGACUAUAUAGGUAGUAUGUUAGUGUUUACCUGUGUGAUAAGUUUUGCAGUUUUGAAGAAAAAUUUAUUUUUUUAAAAUCUAAUCAGGUUUGCAAAGGAGAUAACCAAAGGAUAUUUUACUAUGGAGGUGGAAUAUGAAUUAAGCGUCUUUACAGUUAGGUAAGGAACAAUAGCCAAGAGAUUAAAUUUGAUAGUUCAUAAUAUAACCCCUAUGGAGUACCAAAAGAGGGUGGGACUGAAGCAGCAACAUUUCCAGUGAUUAGAGAACCAGGAGAAGAUAGCAUGGAGGUCCAGAAGUCAAGGAGAAGGCUGUAACAAAGAACUACUGGAAACAGUGAGGUGUUUGAAUGUGCAGAUGAUUCCUUCAGCUGGAGACUUCCUGAGACACACGGAUAUCAUUGAGGGCACUGGUGCAGGUAGAAGCCAGGAGCCAGGGUGGCCUGAACCCUGUUAGGAGGUGAAGAGCAGAAAACUGAGGCAAGGACUGUGAACAGAGCCACGCACAACCACAAGAGAGUUAGAAAAGGUGUUGAAGAGGCAGAAAGCAGUGACAACAGGUCUCUGCCGAACUUAUCAAUGAGAAGUUAUCACGGUCCAACCAUAGAGAGAGCUAAGAAUAAGAACGCUGAAGAGGUCAAGGAAACUUCCAGAGAUUGAGACAAGGCAGGGAGGGUUAGCUACUACUGUUGUAAAUGGAAUGAUGAAAUAGUAUUGAUAUGGCAGAAAAGGAAGUGCAAAGACACUUCUAGCAGUGGAAGCUGUCUGGUGUUGAACUUUUCCCAGGUGCUUUCAGUGGCUCAGCAUUUGGCAGAUGAGGAAGUUGAAUAUUGCAGGUAUUUAUUGUGGUUUUUGUUCUAGAUUUCACGUUCACUUAGGAAAGAAUGGUAUGGAGAAAUCCAUUUAUGUUUUUUACAGCCAUUUUGUCUAUUAAAAGUGUGACUUUAGCCCUUUAAAUCUGUUUGUAGCAGCACUUCAGCGCCUCAUAGUAUCCUUCUAAGUAGCUGGUAUGUGAUGGCUCUUUACAGGCAUCUGCUCAAACUAUAUCCAAUUAAAAAAAAUAAAUCUGGGAACAAACUGCUCCCACUUUCAGCAGACUGGCAGGUAUGAAUUCUGCCUUCAUAAAAGGCUUAUUCCUGUUCUCAGUUCUGUUUAUGGCUAUCAGGCCAGGAAAACUAUAUUGUGUAACUUUUAAGUCAUAUUGCGUUUAAAUUUAUCUAACAUUGUCAUCUGCAAAUAGCAUUAGAACAACAUCAAGUCAGUAAAGAAAACAUGACAAAGCAGCUCAGAAA